AGGCGGAAAGAACAAUAUAGGCCGCGGUCGUAAGCUGGAUUAAAGGCCGACAUCAUGGAGCGUUACGAGGAAGAAGCCGAGGACAGUGACAACGAGACAGACCCAGAACAACUUUUGAACGAAUGGCUCGGCGAAUUGGACAGCUUGACAGUGGUGAGUCUGAGAUUCGAAGAUUCAUGUCUUCUUGGAGGGCCAGUCGAUAAGUAGUUAAAUAUUUAAUAAACAAGUUAUAUUUGUCCAAUUCAUUCGUUGCUGAGAAACUGUCAUAGAGUCUAAAUUGAAGAUUUCUCAAGAACUAGAAUAAAUAACAAAAUUAUCCACGUUACAGGACAACAUAAUUAUUGAAAGUGUUCUUAAUUUGUUCACAUCGAUGGGAUUGUUUUUCCAACUUGUCAAACCACGUACGAAAGUACUCUUUAAUAAAUAAUCAAUCCUUUAAAUUCGGAA